UGAGGAAUAUUGGUCAAUGGGCGCGAGCCUGAACCAGCCAAGUAGCGUGAAGGAUGACUGCCCUACGGGUUGUAAACUUCUUUUAUAAAGGAAUAAAGUGAGGCACGUGUGCCUUUUGUAUGUACUUUAUGAAUAAGGAUCGGCUAACUCCGUGCC
rnacentral:rRNA from 1 species